rnacentral:rRNA from 1 species
AAGCAACGCGAAGAACCUUACCAGGUCUUGACAUCCUCUGACAACCCUAGAGAUAGGGCGUUCCCUUCGGGGACAGAGUGACAGGUGGUGCAUGGUUGUCGUCAGCUCGUGUCGUGAGAUGUUGGGUUAAGUCCCGCAACGAGCGCAACCCUUGAUCUUAGUUGCCAGCAUUCAGUUGGGCACUCUAAGGUGACUGCCGGUGACAAACCGGAGGAAGGUGGGGAUGACGUCAAAUCAUCAUGCCCCUUAUGACCUGGGCUACACACGUGCUACAAUGGAUGGUACAAAGAGUUGCAAGACCGCGAGGUGGAGCUAAUCUCAUAAAACCGUUCUCAGUUCGGAUUGUAGGCUGCAACUCGCCUACAUGAAGCUGGAAUCGCUAGUAAUCGCGGAUCAGCAUGCCGCGGUGAAUACGUUCCCGGGCCUUGUACACACCGCCCGUCACACCACGAGAGUUUGUAACACCCGAAGUCGGUGGGGUAACCCUUACGGGAGCCAGCCGCCUAAGGUGGGA